CAGUAGCGUAUAUUAAAGUUGUUGCAGUUAAAAUGCUCGUAGUUGAAGUUCGGAUGCAGCAGAGCUUGGAAACGCUGUUAUGGUGCUUCCGUUGCUUUUGCUUGUCCACAGUGCGUUGCAAGUACGUAUGUGCUUGUGCGUGCAUUUUACUUUGAGAAACAUAGGGUGUUCCACGCAUGUUACGGCAUGAAUAUUCCAGCAUGGGAUAAUCUGGUACGACUUCCAAUCUGCCAUUUUGGUUCGUAGGUUGGAAGUAAUGAUUAAUAGGGACUGUCGGGUGCAUUGGUAUUUGACUGUCAGAGGUGAAAUUCUUAGAUUCGUUGAGGACCAACCACUGCGAAAGCAUUUGUCAAGGAUGUCUCCAUUAA
rnacentral:rRNA from 1 species